UUACGGCCAGAUCCCGUUGAAAGACCAGUUUCCGUGCGAUCACCUAAGUUAAGCAAUGUCGAACCUGGUCAGUAUUUAAAUGGGUGACCGCUUGGGAAUAACAGGUGCU